GUGGGGAAUUUUGGACAAUGGGCGCAAGCCUGAUCCAGCAAUGCCGCGUGCAGGAAGAAGGCCUUCGGGUUGUAAACUGCUUUUGUACGGAACGAAAAGGCUCUGGUUAAUACCUGGGGCUCAUGACGGUACCGUAAGAAUAAGCACCGGCUAACUACGUGCCAGCAGCCGCGGUAAUACGUAGGGUGCAAGCGUUAAUCGGAAUUACUGGGCGUAAAGCGUGCGCAGGCGGUUUUGUAAGACAGACGUGAAAUCCCCGGGCUCAACCUGGGAAUGGCGUUUGUGACUGCAAAGCUGGAGUGCGGCAGAGGGGGAUGGAAUUCCGCGUGUAGCAGUGAAAUGCGUAGAUAUGCGGAGGAACACCGAUGGCGAAGGCGAUCCCCUGGGCCUGCACUGACGCUCAUGCACGAAAGCGUGGGGAGCAAACAGGAUUAGAUACCCUGGUAGUCC
rnacentral:rRNA from 1 species